rnacentral:lncRNA from 1 species
GGCAUGGAGGCUAGGAUUUCUGGUGGGGUGGGGGAUAAACACAAGAAAUUGUUGCGGGGCAGAAUAGGCAAAGUUUUAAAAAUUUGAGACGCAUGAAUGAGAAUAGAAAAAAAAUCAUUUAGAGGGACCAUCUGUCUACUUCACCAAUCAUCCAUCCUUCUAAUUGUGAGUUAGUAAGAUGAUUAAGUACAAAUAAAAACUUCAAGGGGGUGGUUAGAAUCUGAAAAUGAGGAAGGCAAUCAACCUGU